rnacentral:rRNA from 1 species
AACGUAGGAGGCAAGCGUUAUCCGGAGUUACUGGGCGUAAAGCGCGUGUAGGUGGAUCGGUAAGUUACUUAUAAAAGCUCCUGGCUAAACUAGGAGAGGUUGAGUGAUACUGCCAGUCUUGAAUAGAGGAGAGGUUGACGGAAUUCCGCGUGUAGUGGUGAAAUGCGUAGAGAUGCGGAGGAACACCGAUGGCGAAGGCAAUCCCCUGGGCCUGCACUGACGCUCAUGCACGAAAGCGUGGGGAGCAAACAGG